rnacentral:lncRNA from 1 species
AUUACAAACUUUGCUGUAACUCAAGUUUAGUUAGAAUAAAAAUAAUAUUUUUACACCGACCGUUUCUAGAGCAAGUGAUAAAAUGCUUGGUGGUUGGUACAUGACUUUUCAAGUUGGAAUCCUAGUUGAUUCACAUUUUCGUUAAAUUUAUUGCUAAAUGAAAUAAACGAAGCGGAUAGCCUGCUACCUAGAUAGGUCUAAUCCUUAUUUAUAAUGCAGGGAUAUAUUAUUAGG